GCACUACCGGCGCAGCCACAGCCGCAACCGGCGCAGGCGCCAUCCGUCUCUUCAUGAUGGCAAUCAUAUCUCUAAUUCUAAGAAUCAUCACAUGGGUUUGUCUCAUAAUUUCAACCAUCAUAAUAGUAACAACUACUGCCACAAUCAUAGGCACUUAUCAGACUGUCGAAAUUCACUUCAAUGAUAUAAUUGCUUACAGAUAAUUAAACUGCAUUCAUCUUAAGAAUCACCUUAUCUAAAAGCUUAGGUUAAACUCUUAAAUGAGUUGAUUUCACAGCUACCCUUCUAAACAUGAGUUGCAUGUGAAUAAGCAUGUUGAAAAUAUA
rnacentral:lncRNA from 1 species